GCGGAGGAAAAGAAACCAACAGGGAUUGCCCUAGUAACGGCGAGUGAAGCGGCAACAGCUCAAAUUUGAAAGCUGGCCUUCGGGUCCGCAUUGUAAUUUGUAGAGGAUGCUUUGGGUGAAACGCCAGUCUAAGUUCCUUGGAACAGGACGUCAUAGAGGGUGAGAAUCCCGUAUGUGACUGGAAAUGUUAACCUAUGUAAAGCUCCUUCGACGAGUCGAGUUGUUUGGGAAUGCAGCUCUAAAUGGGAGGUAAAUUUCUUCUAAAGCUAAAUAUUGGCGAGAGACCGAUAGCGCACAAGUAGAGUGAUCGAAAGAUGAAAAGCACUUUGGAAAGAGAGUUAAAAAGCACGUGAAAUUGUUGAAAGGGAAGCGCUUGCAAUCAGACUUGUUUAAACUGUUCGGCCGGUCUUCUGACCGGUUUACUCAGUUUGGACAGGCCAGCAUCAGUUUCGGCGGCCGGAUAAAGGCUCUGGGAAUGUGGCCUUCACUUCGGUGAAGGUGUUAUAGCCCAGGGUGUAAUACGGCCAGCCGGGACUGAGGUCCGCGCUUCGGCUAGGAUG
rnacentral:rRNA from 1 species